rnacentral:rRNA from 1 species
AUUCCUACGGGAGGCAGCAGUGAGGAAUUUUCCCCAAUGGGCGAAAGCCUGAGGGAGCGACGCCGCGUGCGGGAUGAAGUCUUUCGGGAUGUAAACCGCUGUCGGAGGGGAUGAGAAAGGACAGUACCCUCCAAGAAAGCCCCGGCUAACUACGUGCCAGCAGCCGCGGUAAUAAU